UCCCUGGUGGUCCAGUGGCUAAGGGUCCACACUCCCAGUGUAGGGAGCCCAGGUUCAAUCCCUGGUCAGGGAA
rnacentral:tRNA from 1 species